CUCCACCAGCCCACUCCAAAACACCCUAAACCGGCCCAAUUUUGAUAUCUCCUUCAAACAAACAAAAAACAACGACCAGCUGCAGCGGCAUCGACCAACAGUCAUGCCCAAAUGGUGAACCAGCUCGGAUAACGGAAAAACCGACCCAAACCAGCUCCGAUAACUGCAAAACCCGACCCGAAUCAGUAUACACAUGUCUCACGUGAUAGUAUGACGAGAAAGGUCUGAUAAUCUUCUAGAAUACACCCAGGUGUCUCCCCCAACGGCUAACUCCACGAAUCUCGGGUGCAAUGGUACGAAUUCGUACAGAUUUGGAAGAAUUUCAUUGGUUCUUGACCAUGAUUAAUUUUCCCCCAAUUUCAUUGGUCCACCCAUUUCAAAUUUUCUCAAGAAAAAUCUGAAUUUGUACAAGUUAUUGGCUGGAAAUCUGGUCCUCAGCUGGAAUUUCAAAAAUAUCCUUGUUAAAAUUCCCCAAAAUUACCCCUAAUAUUUUUCUCCCACAUUGAUGGGAGUUUGGAGUUGAACCCAGGAUUUCCCUCUAUAUAAGGCUCAUUAUAGAGCUAAAAUGGCCAAGUCUGGAAGGUGGAAAAGCUUUCGAGCAAAAAAGUUCCAUUUUUAUAGUAUAAAAUUUUUUCCGUGAAAAGUCGAUGGCUGCACGGAGUUUUUGGAGUCCCGGCAAAGUUUUCCGGGCGGUAAUCGAGAUUCCGUUGAAGGCUCGAGUCUCAUUUUAUUUCCCCGGAAAAGGUUGAGUCCGAAAUGGACUCUUCCCAUGUGCAUUUCGAUGAUGGGCCAAUGCGGCGUAUUUCCUUUUUGAGUCAUCCCAUUGAGCCCAUCAAAUUAGCUUGAUUCUUGGAGAAAGGAACUAUUGCCAAUGGAAGAAAAAUGGAUCAGGACCCACUGAUGAAGUUGCUAAGAUUAGGAGACUUGAAAAGUCUCACUUUGAUUUCUUUUAUUGAUUUGUAUUUAUUUAUUCAUUCAUUCAUCUGGGUCUCGAAGCCAAAGUUGUAAACUAAUACAGGUGAAGCAAAUUUUGGGUCAAAGGGUUCGAAAAAGAUUGUUUAGGACAGGUGCAGGUGGUUCAAGAGUUCAAUUAGAUUAGGACAGGGUUGAUAGAUUUGGGUCAACGAGCCUAAGUCUUCUAAUUCUCCUCUUCCCCUUUUACAUGCUAUUUGACUUUGAUUUGCUUAGACUUAGUUAAAUUCUCUACUAAGUUGUCAA